GCCGACAGAUAUACGGAUGGACGGACAGCCCUAUAUGUGUUCGUUCCUCGUAAUUUGCGCAAACAACGCAUAACAGCAGAUAACAACACAUGACAAGAAAUACCUAUAUACAAUUUCAUAAACCCUAGAGGCACGCUGUAAUAUUUUCUUACGCAUAGCAAGCAGUUUCCAUGGCAACAGCAGUCACACGAUACACGCCUGUUCAAUCUUCAUCAGGUGGAUCUUGAUAAACUUCGUCACGAACAGGAAAUCUCAUUUCUUGUGGAUGACUGGCUUGAACAUUUCUCACUUUUUGUGUUUCUUGCCCAUUCAUUUUACCCCCUUUCAAGCAUCAGUUGUUUCUGAUAAGAUCUGAGGUUCUUACGGCGACAAGUAUGAUCGUGUCUGUCUGCUGAGAUGAAGAACCACGUAGUCUGCUAGACAGAAUGACGUUGGUAUACAAAUCGGCUAUUAUUUCAAAUUCGCCAUUCGAAUAUUUUUUCUAUUGCCGUCACUCUAAUAAAAAUAGAAAACAAAACUCUAGAAUGAUUUAUUCAUUUGUUACGUUCUUCUAUCAAGUUUGUUGUUCCAUGUUACGAAUCGUUCUAUAACACUCGUCACUAGUAUUUACGUUUCAUUGACCUCGAUAUAGGAGUCACUAGCGCUAUAUGUUCUUCAUUUGUUAGGUUGGGAAAAAAUGGCGCAUGCGUAUAGACCAGACGGAACGAAACAUGAAUUGGUUUGCUGUAAAAGGUGGUAAAUUAACUAUAUUUAGGAGUAAUAUUCACGUCGUCGGUCAGAGAGAAGUACUUACGUGUACAGACAUUAGUAAUUUACGUGUAUAUUUUUCGAUUUGUAUUUAGACAGCGAAAUUGUGAUUUCACCAGUGUACGAGUAAAUUGUAAGUUACUCUCUGGUCCAUAGUUGGCUUUGUUCUGUUAAUCAUCAGGUUUUUCAUUGUUCACUUUCCACGUUCAUACUUUUUAUAAAUAUUUAUUCCAACGUGUUUCUCGAUGUUCAGUGUUUUGAAAGUUGUGAUGCUAAUGUCUGUAACUGUUAAAAGUUUAGAAAUAUUGACUUCCGUAUCUUAUUUCCGUUUCAUGUGACACAAAUAUCCGAGGUAAACGAAAACACUGACUUGCUGCAUUAUUUUAUUACGCGUCUGAUGUCUUAGUUGUUGUGUGCUGUCGCACACAAAACGUCAUUCUUUACUGUCAAUAUUCCCACAGGUGUCGUAUUUCUAAUUAUAGAGCAGGUAUCUGCAGUUUAUUUACAAUCAAAGCGCAUGCGCGUUUAAGUCAUGUGACUAAUCGCAAGAUCAGUUCUGUUCUGUUAAAGAAACCGGUUUCUUCUGCUUACUGAGCAACACACACGCUGAACAGUUUUAUGUUUAAAAGUGCACAACCUUUGUGACUGUAGCCUUAUCCUUGGAAGUCGAAUGAAGACAACUGUUUGUGUUGUGGUUUCAGAAACAGAGUAUUUACUCUCAUUUGGCUGUUGUUGUAAAGAUAUAUAAUUUAUUUGCGUAAUUUUUGAGUGAUACAAACUACACACAGAAAGGGAAACAAAUGGACGGUUCUUCAAUUCUUCUGUGCAACGAAGAUCGUGGAAUAGCUGAAUGAAGGUGCAGACAGACAGAACGACUACGUAUUAAACGUGAGACGCAAGUAGAAGACGCCAUCUUUGACACCGUCGAUACGUGUUCUUUGUCUACAGUAAGAAACUAAGUUUUGGACCCGAAUAGAGCGACAGGAGAAACUGUACCUCCGCUCUCCCGUCACAUGAUCAUUCGUUCAUCUCACAAGAUGCUAUAAAACAUAUUUAGUUGAUACAGUAUCGUAGGAUAACCAAGGGAGCAUCUCCCGCGGCCGCCAGGAGGUCAAAGUUCAGGUGUGUGUGAGCAUUAUAAAACAGCUAUGGAGUGGAGUAUUGACAGAAGAGAGCCUCCCUCCCUUCCUCUACGUCUUCUUUUCCUUAAAUUCAACCUCUCAUCUGAAUGAGAAGAGAUGAUUUGAAUUCUUGAAUACAUCAAUGGCGCAUAACCUUGGAUUCUCCCCAGAUGUGAGGAUGCAUUAUUUAUGUCGUGACCUGCAGGUUAUGCUUUGUAAUCCUCAACACAGAUUGCAAGAUUUCAAGCUUCAGAAGACUUGGGCAGUAUGGUCUUCCGAAACACUCGUGUGUACCUACAAGCCCACACGGCGUCACAAGGCAGAAGACCAACACAGACAUCUUCAUUGUCGUGAAAUCCACAAAUCUCGUCAUUUCAAACAAUCCAUGAAGUGGAAUUCAAUUUGCACGUAUGGUUUUUAUAUUUGUCGCUUCAAGUAAUAAGAGAGUUCGUCACGUUGGUGGAACUCUUCAUUCGCAACGGCAAUCUCAGUGACAGGACGGACCUGCUCAGAGUGAGCCCGCCGGGGAACGCUGAGGUCGUAUCGACUCGCCCUGAACUUUUUACAAACAACGAAAUGUAUACCGGCCCGAUACAUAGGCGAAAUCUUCUGUGAGAAUUUGUUUUGAUCAAGAGACAAAAUAAGUUCGGAGGCUGCCCCGAUCUCCUGGGAAGUUCAGGUAACUGCACAAUUUCUCAUGGGAGGCAGCAAUCGGAUUUACGGUACUCAGACCUGGUUGACAGCAAACUCAAAAAUUGGAGCUCAUCGCUUAAUUGGAACCAUCCUCUGAUGACAGAACACUGAAAUCAACGAGGGCACAACUGACGGUGUGUGCCCAAGAUGUGGACUACAAGGAAUACGUACUGAAUAUUUGUCAUUAAACGACUUGAAAGACCUAGGCGGGAGGAUAAUAUUAAAUGGACCUUAGGGAUAAAAAGUAAGCUUUCAGGUUCAUACGGCAAGUGUGAAGUUGUCGUUCUUCUGGGUUGUUACGCCCCGUAGUCUGGUAGAAGUUUACGGAUGUUUCGGGGGUGGUCGCUGAUUCCAUCAUCAGGGCGAAACUACCCAGAAGACAGCUAUCGUCUUCAGGGACAUAACGUUUCUAUAGAUGGGAGAUGCAUAGAAGUAGCUCAUGUCCAGUCGCUUUAGCUCUAGCUGUACUAAACUUCCGGAACCUGCUUUAGCAACGUAGUUAGUCGUUAAUUAUUUCUAUCGUUUUUGCUCGGUUAAUUAGGACUCUUUCAGGAAAUUUACGAGUGGAAAUAUUCUCUGAAUUAG